rnacentral:tRNA from 1 species
GACUGCGUGGCGCAGUGGAAGCGCGUUGUGCUCACAAUUUGAGAGCCACAAAGGCCCGUGGAUCGAAACCGCGCGUGGUCA